rnacentral:rRNA from 1 species
ACUCAAAUGAAUUGACGGGGGCCCGCACAAGCGGCGGAGCAUGUGGAUUAAUUCGAUGCAACGCGAAGAACCUUACCUGGGCUUGACAUGGACUAGAAAGCUCUAGAGAUAGAGCCUCCCUUGUGGCUGGUUCACAGGUGGUGCAUGGCUGUCGUCAGCUCGUGUCGUGAGAUGUUGGGUUAAGUCCCGCAACGAGCGCAACCCUCGUUCCAUGUUGCCAGCACGUAAUGGUGGGGACUCAUGGGAGACUGCCGGGGUCAACUCGGAGGAAGGUGGGGAUGACGUCAAGUCAUCAUGCCCCUUAUGUCCAGGGCUUCACACAUGCUACAAUGGCCGGUACAAAGGGCUGCUAAGCCGUGAGGUGGAGCGAAUCCCAUAAAGCCGGUCUCAGUUCGGAUCGGGGUCUGCAACUCGACCCCGUGAAGUCGGAGUCGCUAGUAAUCGCAGAUCAGCAACGCUGCGGUGAAUACGUUCCCGGGCCUUGCACACACCGCCCGU